UUUUAUUUUAUUUAUUUCUAUUUUUUGCAAAAUAAUUAGGUACCAUUGUCAAUGCACUUGAGCUCUAUUGUCAAUGCAAUUCGUACUAUUUUACUGUCACUUCUAACUCAGCAAGAAUGAGGGCAGCUUAGGAAAUUCAGAUCCCAUCGUUUGAUCAAAUGUCACCUAGCUAUCUAAUCUAUCUGAGCAGGCGCAAUUCUCA
rnacentral:lncRNA from 1 species